AAGAUUUAGGCAAGUGUUAUAAAUGCUGCUUUGCAUGAACAAUAUAUGAAUAACUAUAUGGAGGGAGCCACAUAUUUCUUUGCAAAUUUCAUUGUGUCUCCUAACGUGACCCAAUACAGAGCAAUAACUCACCCUUUCAAGAUUACUUUCACGCAACAAACAUUCAUGAGGAAUGAACUUAAUGUCAUCCCGAAGAUAUCAUACUCUCUUAUGAAGAUUGAGGACAUUUUGAACAUAUUUGAAAGAAAUCAUGUAGACUGCCUUAUAGAUGUCAUUGGUUUUGUCAAGUAUCUUGGAGGAUUGGAGGAAUACAGAAAGGAUAAUGAGACUAAGCACAAGUUGAGGAUCAUCAUAGUUGAUUAAGAGGACAAUCAAAUCGCAUGUGUAUUAUUCGAUGAGUGUUCAACCAAUGCCUACACUUCUUACCUGGAGAACAUGAAUACUCCUGUAUGGCUUUAUUAAAUCUUGCAAGGGUUGUAUUUGCAGAUGAUGGUACAGCAUAGAUAUUCAGCUCUUUUAAUGCGACCGUGGUUUAUUUUAAUCCCCAGAUUGAUGAAGUUAAAGAAUUCCUUGA